rnacentral:rRNA from 1 species
UGAGUAACCUGCCCUGGACUUUGGGAUAACCCUCGGAAACGGGGGCUAAUACCGGAUAUGACGGCUCACCGCAUGGUGUGGUUGUGGAAAGUUUUUUCGGUCUGGGAUGGGCUCGCGGCCUAUCAGCUUGUUGGUGGGGUGAUGGCCUACCAAGGCGACGACGGGUAGCCGGCCUGAGAGGGCGACCGGCCACACUGGGACUGAGAUACGGCCCAGACUCCGUACGGGGAGGCA